UUUGUUAGAGUUACAAGAAGAUAAUGACAUUCCAUUGAUUUUUAGAAAACUGGUUUUAUAAUCAGAGCAAGCUUGAGUACACUUGAAGAGGAAAAACUAUUGAAAAUUUUCAAGUUGUUUAGUUGUGUAAUAGGCUGGUCCAUUGGUGAUUUGAAAGACAUUAGUCUAACAUUUUGCAUGCAAAAUAUUCUAAUGGAGAAGUCCACAAAGCAGCAGUGCAACC
rnacentral:lncRNA from 1 species